CUCUCUCUCUCUCUCUCUCGCUCUCCCUUGCCCUUCCUCUCAAUCUCAAGUUUUCCCUAAUAACAGGUGAAUUUCCUCAUAUCACUUCCACCGGAUUAGUGAAGAUCAAAGAGUGUGUGUGCGUGUGUUUCCAGAAGAGUGUGGGUGUGUGUGUGUGAGGGGGAGCGGUUGAGGGUAUGUGUGGGAGGCUGUGUGUGGGAGACUGUGUGGGUCCAUAUGAGAGAGAGUGUGUGUGCUCUAGCUUGUUUGAGUACUCGGAGUGUAUGAGGAAUAUGUAGGGGUUAAGAUGGUGAAAGCUUUCAGGUACAGAGUUAACAUACGGCACGUCUACCAGAGCUGCUCUAGCUCAUCUAGACAUUUUAGCCAGUAUAGAAGACGCGCCGCAUGUGUAAUCAAGGACCAUUCAUCUCAGCUACUGCCUCAUCGGUAAAUAUUAAUAUUUCAACUGUGUCUGAUUUGUUUGUGUCCAAGCAGGUGUGUGUGUGUGUGUGUGUGUGUGUGUGUGUGUGUGUGUGUGUGUGUGUGUGUGUGUGUGUGUGUGUGUGUGUGUGUGUGUGUGUGUGUGUGUGUGUGUGUGUGUGUGUGCGUGCGUGCGUGCGUGCAUGUGUUUGCAUGGACAACUUCAUUCAGGUGUGUGUGCAUCCACACAUCUUCACGCUAGUGUGUGUGUGUGUGUGUGUGUGUGUGUGUGUGUGCGUGUGUUCCUGCUAGUGUGUGACCUCAUGGCCGUGUGUUUGCUCCUGUGACGGUAACAAGGCGGAGGAUAUAUGUGGAGGUGCGAGUGUCUCCUUUCUCCACACAGACCCCGAGGAGCAGCUGGUCCAUAGAGGAGUCCCUCUUCUGGAGUCAACCCAACCCUCACUGGCCGGCAGUAAAACGACUCCUCUGUUUGUGUGGAGGGAGUGUUUACACCUCCCCCGAUGGCCUGUGGCCUUGCGGUGCCUGCUCACACUGAGCUGAAAUUUGGACUUUCUUAUCCACUGCAUCGCCACUACGAGCUAGACUAGCUUACCGAGAGGGACGAGGCCCAUGGAGACAGACCUGUCGGCCAAGACCACCAAAGAGCUGCCAAAUAUAAGACCUAGCCAAAUCAAGAACUACAUGGCUAAAGCCAUAUCCCAACGAUAACUUCCGGACCCCAAGACCUAACCAAACCUUCUUCACCGCUACAGACCUAACCAAAUCAAGUCUUUUAUAGCUGUAGACCUAGCCAAACCAAAUCAAGUCUUUUAUAGCUGUAGACCUAGCCAAACAAAGUCUUUCAUAGCUAAAUA
ensembl:lncRNA